rnacentral:tRNA from 1 species
GCUCACGUAGCUCAGUAGGUAGAGCACAUCCUUGGUAAGGAUGAGGUCAGCGGUUCAAUCCCGCUCGUGAGCUCCA